AGCAGCCGCGGUAAUUCCAGCUCCAAUAGCGUAUAUUAAAGUUGUUGCAGUUAAAAAGCUCGUAGUUGAAUUUCGGGAUCAGUACGUUGGUCGCGCCAUUGGUACGUACUGGUGUUACUGGUUCCUACCUUCUGAGGAACCGUCAUGUCAUUAAUUUGGUGUGGUGGGAAAUCAGGACUGUUACUUUGAAAAAAUUAGAGUGUUUAAAAGCAGGCUCGCGCUUGAAUACAUUAGCAUGGAAUAAUGAAAUAGGACGUUCGAUCCUAUUUUGUUGGUUUCUUAGGAUUGACGUAAUGAUUAAUAGGGAUAGUUGGGGGCAUUAGUAUUCAAUUGUCAGAGGUGAAAUUCUUGGAUUUAUUGAAGACUAACUACUGCGAAAGCAUUUGCCAAGGAUGUUUUCAUUAAUCAAGAACGAAAGUUAGGGGAUCGAAGACGAUCAGAUACCGUCGU
rnacentral:rRNA from 1 species